GUGAAUCAUCGAAUCUUUGAACGCAAAUUGCACUCGCUGGUAUUCCGGAGAGUAUGCCUGUUUGAGGGUCAGUUUAAAUAAAAAUCGGUGUGGGUGCUGCCGUUCUGGGUCUCGCACCGGGUUUGGGUCGUCUGUCGUUCGGUUAAUUGACCUAAAAUGUUGAGUGAUUUUUUCGAACGUAUGUAAAUGAGUUUGCGUACUUUUGCGAUAUCGAAUACUAGGUGUGGGCAUCCUCAUGAGU
rnacentral:misc_RNA from 1 species